CUGCUUUUGAAUAUGCUGUCUAGGUUGGUCAUAACUUUCCUUCCAAGGAGUAAGCAUCUUUUAAUUUCAUGGCUGCAAUCAUCAUCUGCAGUGAUUUUGAAGCCCAGAAAAAUAAAGUCAGCCACUGUUUCCACUGUUUCCCCAUCUAUUUCCCAUCAGGGAAGCCUAAAACCAUCAUUACUCCAAGCCAUAGACCUCUUUCAAUUGUAAUCAUAAGAAUCCAGAAUGAUAUUACAGCCUCAUCUUAACCAGUGUCUCCAGCUUCCCCUCUAUUUGAGCCUUUCACUGAGCCACUGACAAGAAAUAAUUUGAGAUGGAUGUUAAUUUCCUCUCUUAUUUCUACUUCUGACUCAUGUCAUCCUACUCCAUCCUUCUCAAUGAGUUGCUAGUGAAUAGAAAAGUGUCCUUAAAUAUGAAGAAAAAGGAAAAUUUAAAGUGGUCUGUACAAGUACUCAGUACUUAGCAGCUGUGGGCUUUGGUCAUUUUAAACUUAGGAUUGCUUUCUUGUCUUUCCUCAUAACGAAUCCCUCCCUCUUCACCCUCCAUGCAUUUGCGCGCACGUGCACACACACACACACUGCCAAGGUCAUAGACUUGGAAAGACUACCCCAAUGAGUCAUCUCCUUUAAAAAUGCUGGAGCCAUAGACAGAGUAGCAAGCAAAACUCUCCGUUUCAAAAUAUCGUUGACAGCCCUAUGAGUUGCAAGAAAACUACCCCUUUGCUGCCAUCUCCUUCAGUGAUUCUUUCCUACAAGUUCUAAGGAGCAAGGUUGUAAGUAUGGGUCUUGGUUAACCCAGGGUGGCUACUUGCUUGAAUCAUGCCUCAGAACCCACCACAGAUGCUGACACCUGGGCCAAGGGUUUUGUGGAUGAUGUUGCCAAUGGAUUGUGACUUCAAGUGACAAGAUAUUCCUGGGAUGACACAUUGCAGAGCUGGCAUGUGGUCCUCAGUGCCUGACUUCUUUGUCCCUGAACUCACAGGAGCAUGUGUCAAGAUGGGUGUGCCAUGAGUCCAAAGCAGCCUGGACCACUGAGUCACCACAUCAAGGCAGCUGCCUUGCAGAGUCACUGAGACUUGCAAUGUCUUGCUGACAAGACCAAACAAACUUUCAUUGUGCUGAGGAACUGAACAUGCGGUGCUGUUUGUUGUUUCAGCAUAAUGUAACCUGUCUUGACUGAAACGAGAGUGAAGUAAGGAUCAAAAUCAAGUCUUUCUGAACCACAAGUCAUUAUCCUUAACUACCAGGAAAUACUGCUUCUCCUUACCUCAAUAUCCAGGAGACCUCUUAGAUAAAGUCAUGACCUGGGAAGGAUGAGAGAAAGAGGAC
ensembl:lncRNA